CUGAUCUGUAAUAAAGGAGAGAGACUGAGGAAAUGCAGGCAUCCACAGACAUUGUCUCUUCUUUCAUUUUUGGGAAAUGAUAUAUAUACCUAACCCUUUCCUGCCAUAGGUAAACUCCACUUUAGCAGAAGUAUAUAAGAACACCCUGAAGUUGGAAUGGCAAACAUUUCAUGCCUUAUUACAGUGCAUUGGCAGGAUUGGCCCUCUCCGCUUGGUGCCGCCAUACGGGCACACGGUGGUCAGGCGUGGUAAUGCAGACCUGAGACUCAUCCCUGAACAUGGUGAUGCCACUCGUCAUCAGUCCGUGCCUCCUGGUUACAGCACCACUCCAAACCCAGCCCUCUCUGCGCUGGUGUUAACGGCAGCCUAGGCAUAGGAUGGUGACCCCAUAGUCCGGCUGGUGCCAGUCAUUGAGACACGGUGCGGGAUGAGAUGGAGUGUUGUAGAGAGUCCAGUACCUGUGUCCGGAUGGCGGGUGCAGAUGUCAUGGGGUUCUGUAAUGCUUGGUGCACAACAUGACAAUCUUUCCUUGGUGUGGUCUGUCUUGGAUGACCGGAACCUUCACAACGUGUGUAGGUGCCCUCACGUGCCCAUUGGUUCUAACAUCAGGUGACUGUGACAUCUGCAUGCCCACAUGCCGGGCACCUGCACGAAAUGACCACCCGGCCUCAUGCCAACCCACAAUGUGACCCCUAUCAAACUCCGUCAAGUGCUGGUAAUGUUAUCUAAUGCGUCUACGAGGCAUCCUGUGUGACUGGUGACUAGACAUGCCAGCUCCUUGCAAAUCUAACCAUUUACAUACCCAUGGCUGGUCUGAACAUGCACCGAAUUACAUCCAAGUCGGACCACCUCUAAACACAAUACAACAUGAGCCCAUUUUAUCCAUCAUGAAAUGUAAAGGAAAAAAUACUAAGAUGCAAUCUGACAUUUAAACCACAAAUCUGGUUGGAAAAUAAUAAAACAACAUAAAUAACAGUUAACAAGUUAUUUUCCUUAAAAAAAAAGAUAUCUUCUGUUAUGUAACUUUACAACUGGUAUGUGAAGUGUCGGGAAUGAAGAGAUGAUUAAAAACCUGCAUUUGCCAUGGUUGUGUUUGUCUAAGAAACUGAUUUGCUUUUAAAAUUUCAACAGCAGUGCGUUUCCCAGAAUCUCCAAAAUUUCCCAAUCUCUUCCAGGAUGUGAUGUUGUCACACUGUCAUGCCGAAAGACCUUUGCUUUAAUGCAAGCCUCCGACUGAUCGUUACAUGACACCAUAGACCGUUGGAAGCUAGAAUCUGAAUAUGGAAAAGGAAAGAAGUAAGUGACAAAUGUAGAUCAAAUCAUCAUUCAGAAAAGGAGACAAAUGGCCAUAGGUAUUUAACACUAGGAAAUUAACACUGGGAAAUGAACACUGGGAAAUUUACACUAGUUUUUCUUUUGUAAGCAGAAGGUUUUUAUUCCAGGGCUUAAAAACAUCAGACACCUUUAAAUUUGUGGGGAAGAUAACAUAAAAAUAUGUA